rnacentral:pre_miRNA from 1 species
UGGAAGUAGAUUGGGAAGAGCCAUAUGAUACAAGUAUGUAUCAUUUCAGUGAACACGUUGCUCCAGCAAGAGAGAGCAAGAGCUUGAGUGAAGCUCACAAAAACCAGAGCCUAUUGCAGAAGUGGUGCAAGAAGCAAGACAAGUACAUCAACAAGCUCAUAAAGGGCAUGAAAUCUCUCCAAUCCCUGCAAGGCACUCAUCACACGAGCCUCGAGCACACAAGAGGAGAAAGAAGGCUGUACUUGCCCGUUCCA